rnacentral:rRNA from 1 species
UACGUAGGGUCCAAGCGUUAUCCGGAAUCACUGGGCGUAAAGCGUGCGUAGGUGGCGUGUUAAGUGUGAUGUUAAAUCGUGUGGCUCAACCAUAUCGAUGUGUCGCAUACUGGCAUGCUAGAGGACAGCAGAGGCAAGUGGAAUUUGUAGUGUAGCAGUGAAAUGCGUAGAUAUUACAAGGAACACCAAUGGCGAAGGCAGCUUGCUGGGCUACUCCUGACACUGAGGUACGAAAGCGUGGGGAGCGAAACAGG